AAACUUAAAGGAAAGUUGACGGGGCCCGGCACAAGCGGUGGAGGUAUGUGGUUUAAUUCGAUGCAACGCGAAGAACCUUACCUCGGUCUUGACAUCCCGGAGACCCUUAGGAAACUAGGGGGUGCUUCCAUCUGGAAGAAUCUGGAGACAGGUGCUGCAUGGCUGUCGUCAGCUCGUGUCGUGAGAUGUUGGGUUAAGUCCCGCAACGAGCGCAACCCUUGCCUUUAGUUGCCAGCAGUUCGGCUGGGCACUCUAAAGGGACUGCCGGUGUUAAACCGGAGGAAGGUGGGGAUGACGUCAAGUCCUCAUGGCCUUUAUGACCAGGGCUACACACGUACUACAAUGGCCGAUACAAAGGGCAGCGACACUGCGAGGUGAAGCCAAUCCCGUAAAAUCGGUCUCAGUCCGGAUUGGAGCCUGCAACUCGACUCCAUGAAGUUGGAAUCGCUAGUAAUCGUGGAUCAGCAUGCCACGGUGAAUACGUUCCCGGGCCUU
rnacentral:rRNA from 1 species